rnacentral:snoRNA from 1 species
CUCGAGACUAGAGUCACGCUUAGGUAUCCUGUUGCCUUGGUGUGCUAGAGUCCUCGAAGAGUAACUGCUGACCUUAUUCACUGGCUGUGGCCCUCAUGGCACAGUCGGUCACCGGGUUAGUGACAUGU